rnacentral:rRNA from 1 species
AGAGUUUGAUCAUGGCUCAGGACGAACGCUGGCGGCGUGCUUAACACAUGCAAGUCGAGGAGAACGGGAUUCUUCGGAUUCCCAAGUAAACUGGCGAAUGGGUGAGUAACGCGUAGGCAAUCUGCCUUACAGAGAGGGAUAACAUCGGGAAACUGGUGCUAAUACCUCAUAUAAUUUUUUUAUUGCAUGGUAGAAAAAUGAAAAGGGCUACUUUUAGUAGUGCCGCUGUAAGAUGAGCCUGCGUCCUUUUAGCUUGUUGGCAGGGUAACGGCCUACCAAGGCGACGAUGGGUAGCUGGUCUGAGAGGAUGAUCAGCCACACUGGCACUGAGACACGGGCCAGACUCCUACGGGAGGCAGCAGUGAGGAAUAUUGGGCAAUGGGCGCAAGCCUGACCCAGCAACGCCGCGUGAGUGAUGAAGCACCGAGGUGUGUAAAGCUCUGUUAGGAGGGAAGAAACUCCCGAUUUGUCGGGANGGACGGACCUCCA